GAUGAACGCUGGCGGCGUGCUUAACACAUGCAAGUCGAGCGAGUGAGUUCUUCGGAACGAUCUAGCGGCGGACGGGUGAGUAACACGUGGGCAACCUGCCUCAUAGAGGGGAAUAGCCUCCCGAAAGGGAGAUUAAUACCGCAUAACAUCGUUGAAGGGCAUCCUUCGAUGAUCAGAGGAGUAAUCCGCUAUGAGAUGGGCCCGCGGCGCAUUAGCUAGUUGGUGAGGUAACGGCUCACCAAGGCGACGAUGCGUAGCCGACCUGAGAGGGUGAUCGGCCACAUUGGGACUGAGACACGGCCCAGACUCCUACGGGAGGCAGCAGUGGGGAAUAUCGCACAAUGGGGGAAACCCUGAUGCAGCAACGCCGCGUGAGUGAUGACGGCCUUCGGGUUGUAAAGCUCUGUCUUUGGGGACGAUAAUGACGGUACCCAAGGAGGAAGUCACGGCUAACUACGUGCCAGCCGCCGCGGUAA
rnacentral:rRNA from 1 species